CCUACGGGAGGCAGCAGUAGGGAAUCUUCCACAAUGGGCGAAAGCCUGAUGGAGCAACGCCGCGUGGGUGAAGAAGGUCUUCGGAUCGUAAAACCCUGUUGUUAGAGAAGAAAGUGCGUGAGAGUAACUGUUCACGUUUCGACGGUAUCUAACCAGAAAGCCACGGCUAACUACGUGCCAGCAGCCGCGGUAAUACGUAGGUGGCAAGCGUUAUCCGGAUUUAUUGGGCGUAAAGGGAACGCAGGCGGUCUUUUAAGUCUGAUGUGAAAGCCGUCGGCUUAACCGGAGUAGUGCAUUGGAAACUGGGAGACUUGAGUGAAGAAGAGGAGAGUGGAAAUCCAUGUGUAGCGGUGAAAUGCGUAGAUAUAUGGAAGAACACCAGUGGCGAAAGCGGCUCUCUGGGCUGUAACUGACGCUGAGGUUCGAAAGCGUGGGUAGCAAACAGGAUUAGAUACCCCAGUAGUC
rnacentral:rRNA from 1 species